rnacentral:rRNA from 1 species
AUUGAACGCUGGCGGCAGGCCUAACACAUGCAAGUCGAGCGAGCGGCGGACGGGUGAGUAAUGUAUGGGGACUGCCCGAUAGAGGGGGAUAACUACUGGAAACGGUGGCUAAUACCGCAUACUAACGGAUAACCCAUAUGGGAUUGGCUAGUAGGUGGGGUAAAGGUUCACCUAGACGACGAGCUCUAGCUGGUCUGAGAGGAUAAUCUGCCACACGGGGACUUAGCCACGGCCCAGACUCCUCCGGAGGCAGCAGUGGGGAAUAUUGGACAAUGGGCGAAAGCCUGAUGCAGCCAUGCCGCGUGUAUGAAGAAGGCCUUAGGGUUGUAAAGUACUUUCAGCGGGGAGGCGUUACCCGCAGAAGAAGCACCGGCUAACUCCGGGCCAGCAGCCGCGGUAAUUC